UGUUAAAAAAUAAUUUAUUUGUAUUGUUAAAAAUUAACGUGAUUGAUAAAAUAACUUGACAAUGACAUGUGACGUAUCAUAUGUACCUCAUAUUGACGUACAUAGAUCGAUUUUUAACAGUAGAAUUUGAUGCUUUUUAAAA
rfam:Gossypium hirsutum cultivar TM-1 chromosome 8, whole genome shotgun sequence